AAAUUGAAGAGUUUGAUCAUGGCUCAGAUUGAACGCUGGCGGCAGGCCUAACACAUGCAAGUCGAACGGUAACAGGAAGCAGCUUGCUGCUUCGCUGACGAGUGGCGGACGGGUGAGUAAUGUCUGGGAAACUGCCUGAUGGAGGGGGAUAACUACUGGAAACGGUGGCUAAUACCGCAUAACGUCGCAAGACCAAAGAGGGGGACCUUCGGGCCUCUUGCCAUCAGAUGUGCCCAGAUGGGAUUAGCUUGUUGGUGAGGUAACGGCUCACCAAGGCGACGAUCCCUAGCUGGUCUGAGAGGAUGACCAGCCACACUGGAACUGAGACACGGUCCAGACUCCUACGGGAGGCAGCAGUGGGGAAUAUUGCACAAUGGGCGCAAGCCUGAUGCAGCCAUGCCGCGUGUAUGAAGAAGGCCUUCGGGUUGUAAAGUACUUUCAGCGGGGAGGAAGGUGUUGCGGUUAAUAACCGCAGCAAUUGACGUUACCCGCAGAAGAAGCACCGGCUAACUCCGUGCCAGCAGCCGCGGUAAUACGGAGGGUGCAAGCGUUAAUCGGAAUUACUGGGCGUAAAGCGCACGCAGGCGGUCUGUCAAGUCGGAUGUGAAAUCCCCGGGCUCAACCUGGGAA
rnacentral:rRNA from 1 species